UAAACUAGGAUUAGAUACCCUAUUAUUCAUGGAAUAAAUAAAGUCGAAAAAUACGAACCACAGUUUAAAACUUAAAGAUUUUGGCGGUGUCUCAUCGAACCAGGGGAACCUGUCUCAUAACUCGAUAAUCCACGAACACCUUACCUCCCCUAGACUUAACAGCUUGUGUACUGCCGUCGUAAGCACACCUCUAAAAGAAUAAGUAUGCAAUCAUGAUCAAUCUCAUAUACGUCAGGUCAAAGUGCAGCUAAUGGGAAGGUGAUGAUGGGUUACAACCUAGAUAAAGAUACGAAAUAAAGUUCUAAUAGCUAUAUAAAGGUGGACUUGGAUGUAAUAAUGACUCAAUACCAAAAUGAAAACGAAUCUAAGACAUGCACACAUCGCCCGUCGCUCUU
rnacentral:rRNA from 1 species